ensembl:misc_RNA Y_RNA Y RNA
AACUGGUUGAGAUGUAGUGAGUUAUUACAAUUGAUUUUUCACAGUCAGUUACAGAUCAAACUUUUUGUUCUUUCGCCUCUUCUCACUAUUGCCCUGACUAGCCUUUG